rnacentral:rRNA from 1 species
GUAGGUGGCAAGCGUUGUCCGGAAUUAUUGGGGCGUAAAGCGCGCGCAGGUGGUUCUUUAAGUCUGAUGUGAAAGCCCCCGGGCUCAACCGGGGGAGGGUCAUUGGAAACUGGGGAACUUGAGUGCAGGAGAGGAAAGUGGAAUUCCACGUGUAGCGGUGAAAUGCGUAGAUAUGUGGAGGAACACCAGUGGCGAAGGCGACUUUCUGGCCUGUAACUGACACUGAGGCGCGAAAGCGUGGGGAGCAAACAGGAUUAGAUACCCUGGUAGUCCACGCCGUAAACGAUGAGUGCUAAGUGUUGGGGGGGUUUCCGCCCCUCAGUGCUGCAGCUAACGCAUUAAGCACUCCGCCUGGGGAGUACGGUCGCAAAGACUGA